GCAGAGCCCGGCCGGGCCAUGGCGACAGGCGGACGCUUUUUUUGGUGGGUUGUUUUAGGAAAGCUCCUGGCGGUGUGAUGACCACUUCAAAUUCACUGGAUCCAGCACUACAGCCUGAGAGCACAGUGCCUGCUUUCCCAGGGGACCGGCCCAAUAUGUAGUAGGUACCUGAUUAAAAAAAAAAAAAACACCUAACUUGUAAGCCGUUGUACUAAGAACUUUGCCAAAUUUGUUGCAUUUAAUCCUUGUAAUGAUCAGGAGAGCGUUUUAUUCUCACUUUACACAUGUGGACACUGAGACAUGGGCAACCUGAGAGACUUGGCAGUAACUGCACACUUCUUAGUGGUCCACCCAGGACUUACACCUGCAUCUGCCUGGCUCCAAAGCCCAUAUUGUAGUAUUUGCUGAUGUGAAAUAAAAUGGUUUACCUUUAGCACUGAUGAAACUGACACCUUGUUUGGAAGAUAGGCAGGUUAGGUUUUGUGAACCCAGAGAAAGGGUGGGGGAAGACACCUACUAAGAAAGGCUCCUUGUGGCUAUCGGGGCUCAAAUAAAAAAGCAGAAGGUAAGUCUGGCAAGUGGUUCAGUUGGAUGGAGUGUCCUCCCACACAACCAAAAGGCUGUGGGCUUGAUUCCA